AGCGCUUCAAGCGUGGUAUUAUAGGGAAAUACCACAUCACCUUUGCGGGAACUCUCUUCUUGGGAGACUGCCCCUCGACAUCACCAGGAUCAUCUCGCCUGAUCUUAUACCGCAGGGCUUCGCAGACGGGACAAGCAUCCAAUUCCUCGUAUUCAUCACCACGAUAGAGGAUACAAUCAUUAGGGCAUGCGUGUAUCUUCUGAACAUCCAAUCCGAGAGGGCAAAUAAUCUGUUUAGCUUCAUAUGUUGUGGACGGUAAUUCAUUAUUCUCGGGGAGAAUCUUCUUGACAAUUCUCAACAUCCCCUGAAAUGCCUUAUCGGACACACCAUUUUUUGCCUUUCAUUGCACAAAUUCUAGUGUCGUACCUAGUUUUUAUGGCCCUGCUGGCAACCUGGGUACAACAAUUUUUGGUGAUCAUCUAUCAUGCGCUGCAACUUUGCUGCUUCCUUCUCAGUUUCGCAAUCUCUGUAUGCAUCUCGUAUCACCUGACCAAGGUCAUCAGUAGGGUCAUUUUCUGCAAACUCAUCUUCAUCAGCCUCGCCCAUUGUAGUACCUGCAAAAGCUUGGCCUGCAACCCAGUCUGGAAUGGUGUCAUCUUCCUCCUCCUCCUCGCCAUCUUCCAUUACAACCCCUAGUUCACCGUGCUUGGUCCAAACCAAAUAGUUAGGCAUGAAACCGUAUUUAAACAAGUGGCUGUGAA
rnacentral:lncRNA from 1 species